GGUACAAUGAGAAAAAUGACUGGGACAUAGCAAUACCAGGGUACUCUUUAUAUAGGGAAGGCAAGAAAGGGGGAGGGGUGGCCUUGUAUGUGAAGGAUAGCAUAAAAUCUAGCCUAAUAAAAGUUAGUGAGGCAAACAUAGAGUCCGUUUGGGCUACGUUAGAAUUUGGUAAUCACACAGUAACUCGUGUAGGUGUGAUUUAUAGGCCC
rnacentral:lncRNA from 1 species